GCUGGCGGCAUGCCUAACACAUGCAAGUCGAACGCGUGGUUUCGGCCACGAGUGGCGCACGGGUGAGUAGCGCGUGGGAACCUGCCCUUUGGUUCGGGAUAACCGCGGGAAACUGCGGCUAAUACCGGAUGCUCCCUACGGGGGAAAGAUUUAUCGCCGAAGGAGGGGCCCGCGUCCGAUUAGGUAGUUGGUGAGGUAACGGCUCACCAAGCCUGUGAUCGGUAGCUGGUCUGAGAGGAUGAUCAGCCACACUGGGACUGAGACACGGCCCAGACUCCUACGGGAGGCAGCAGUGGGGAAUAUUGGACAAUGGGGGCAACCCUGAUCCAGCAAUGCCGCGUGAGUGAUGAAGGCCUUCGGGUUGUAAAGCUCUUUCGCCCACGACGAUGGUGACGGUAGUGGGAGAAGAAGCCCCGGCUAACUUCGUGCCAGCAGCCGCGGUAAUACGAAGGGGGCUAGCGUUGUUCGGAGUUACUGGGCGUAAAGGGCGCGUAGGCGGCCGCUCAAGUCGGAUGUGAAAGCCCGGG
rnacentral:rRNA from 1 species